UGGGGUGUAGCUCAGUGGUAGAGCACAUGCUAAGUGUGCUUGAGGUCCUGGGUUCAAUCCCCAGUACCUCCA
rnacentral:tRNA from 1 species